rnacentral:misc_RNA from 1 species
GAUGAAGAACGUAGCGAAAUGCGAUAAGUAAUGUGAAUUGCAGAAUUCAGUGAAUCAUCGUAUCUUUGAACGCACCUUGCGCUCUUUGGUAUUCCGAAGAGCAUGCCUGUUUGAGUGUCAUGAAAAUAUCAACCUUGACUUGGGUUUUGUGCUCUAGUCUCGGCUUGGAAUUGGGUGCUUGCCGCUUUUACGAGCGGCUCACCUUAAAUGUAUUAGCUGGAUCUGUCUUUGAGACUUGGUUUGACUUGGCGUAAUAAGUAUUUCGCUAAGGACAUUCUUCGGAGUGGCCUCGUUUCUAGGACGCUUGUCCGCUUUCCAAUACAAGUUCCACCUCGUGGACAUGACUUUUUAUUAUCUGGCCUCAAAUCAGGUAGGACUACCCGCUGAACUUAAGCAUAUCAAUAAGCGGAGGA